CUAACUCCCAGGGUAGCUGUAUUUGCAGUAAGGAUGGAAUUAAGGUUAAGAGAUCAUAAUCCUGAUCUGAUAGGAUUAAUGUCCCUACAGGAAGAUGCCAGAGGCUCACUCACUUCCUCCCUCUCUCUGUGCGUGCACAAAGGAAAGGCCGUGUAGGAUGCAGGCCAUCUGCAAGCCAGAAGACAGUCCUCAACAGAAACUGAACCCUGCUGGAUUUUGAUCUGGAACUUCCACCUUCCAGAACUGUCAAUUUUUGUAAGAAUUUAUACGCAGUUCCAGAUUAAUAAAAAUCAUUAAAGUAACUCAGACAGCAAAUAAAAUAUAAUUGAUAAAUGACUGCAUAAUAAAUAAAAUUGCAAAGGAAGCUUUUUACCAAAGCAUUUCUUUACUACUGGAUAUUAUAGGUAAGCAAAAAUUUCUUCUGAUAUACAGGAGGGUUUUUUUUUUUCUCUCUGCUGAGAUAAGACAUCUGUUUGUUUCCCAAUGAAAGAAGACCCUGGCUACAUGGAUCAUUUUCUUAGUGACAGCCCUGACAAGUUUGACAUUUGUUUCAUGAAGUGUUCUGAAACAAUCGUAAAGAAAAUGUAUCCUUUGAGGCUACUGGAAAGUAGACAGGCUUACCUCUUAAUGUUUAAACUUGUUAAUUCAUACUCUAAAAAAAUACACUGACUAUAACAACUUUGCAGAUCUGCUAGUUAUAUGUGAAAUUUCAAGAAUGUGCACUCAAUUAACAGUAACACCUGUAAUAUCAAAUGACAAAAUUUGGUUCCUUAGCCUUGCUCUUUUUACACGGACAGAAUUGUAGUGAGAAUGGUAAUUUCUAGGCACAGAUGGACCAUUUAAUAAUGGGCUGAUACUCCAGGUGGCAAUAUGAGACUGAGUUAUUCUAACAGAGAAAUUAAGUAAACACACUGCCAUGUUUAUCUUAUCACUAAAUAAAACUUGCAAGAUUUUGCUUAAAUGUUAGUCAGCUUGCACUAUCAAUUUGUGAUAGAGGAGACCCUCGGUUUUUCUUUAUUUAUAAAUGUGAUUUAGUUCUCAUGAUAGUUCAAAUAAUUGAUGCCAAUUAAUAAAACCUAUCCAUUCUUUUCCUUCCUCUUAGGACGUAACCAACUCCUAACAAUGGCCAACUAUUUUAGCAUCUGGAAUUUAUAUCACUCAGGUAAUACCUGGAUACAAAUUACACUCUAUGAGUACAGAUAACUUUGUUUACCUUGUAGACUGCCAAGUUUAAAAGAUUUCUUAAACUCUUGUAAUCCUUUAUAUAAAAGGAUUACACAAAGAGGCAACUCUCCCUAUUCUUUAUAUCUUUAUAGAUGUUGAUGUAAGUACCUUUAUAAUGGAGAAACAUGGCAAACAACACCUUAACCAAAUGGUCAAGGUUAAUAUCACCAAUAAUAUAUAUUAACACCCUGAUACGAUGUAUUAAAAACGGCACAUCACCUCUGGUUUGUGGUAUCCUUCCCAACAGGGUAUAACCUAAUUCUAAUCUGAGAAAACAUCAGAUAAACCCUCUACAAUAUAAUUAAACAGUAGUCUUCAAAAUGUCAAGGUCGGCCGGCUACAGUGGCUCACGCCUGUAAUCCCAGCACUUUGGGAGGCCGAGGCAGGCGGAUCACAAGGUCAAGAGACCGAGACUAUCCUGGCCAACAUGGUGAAACCCCGUCUCUACUAAAAAUACAAUUAUUCGCUGGGUGUGGUGGCGGGCGCCUAUAGUCCCAGCUACUCGGGAGGCUGAGGCAGGAGAAUCGCUUGAACCCAGGAGGUGGAGGCUGCAGUGAGCGGAGAUCGCGCCACUGCACUGCAGCCUGGGCAAUUGAGCGAGACUCCGUCUCAAAAAAAAAAGAAUGUCAAGGUUAUGAAUGACAAGACUUGGAACUAUCACAGACCACAGGAGACUAUGGGGACAUGAUGACUGAAUGCAGUGAGGAAUCCUGGACUACAUAAAAAGGACAUUAGUGAGAAAACUGGUAAAAUUUAAAAAUGGUUCUUAGAGUAGUAGCAGCCUCUCAAAGUUAAUGUCUUGGUUUCAAUAAUUGUACUAUGGUUACAUAAAAUGGCAACACUACAGGAAGCUGGAUAAAGGCAAAUGGGAAAUUUCUACACUAUUUUUGCAAAUUUUCUGUAAAUUUAAAAUUAUUUCAAAGUAAAAUGAUUAAAGAAACAGAAAAUAAAAAUGGCUACCUAAUGAAAGUUUCCUAAAUUCAAAUAAAGUAAGUAAAAUGUAUGGGAACAGAUUUUAUAAGAAAACAAAUGCAAGGCACCUGUAGCCUCUACACUGAAAUAUACAGCUAUAAUUAACAGUUUGCUUUCCAUCAUUCUACCCCAAAUUCCUAAGUACCUAAAAUAUUCAUAAUGUUGAUAUUAUUGAUUUUUAUUUUCUUACCUGUGCUUUGCCACAUUUUCUUGUUUUCCCACUGUGAGCAUAGAUUUCCUUCGUAAUCAGAAAACAUAGCUUUCUUUUACUAAGUCCCUUUAUAAUUUGGCCAUAUGAACAAACUAUUUCCAGAAAUAAGUAAGAGUUACAAGACUCUAUGAAUACAAAGAGAAGAUGUCACUUGUUUUUAUUUUACCAAAUAUGUUCUUCACAGCAGGCAAACAUCCAUGGUGGUACAACAGUAAAAUGAAGGGAGACGGUGCAGACAGGCACUAACUUAAAAUGUUUCUAUAUUCUUAUGAUAUUUUCUUUAGAUUUUAAAUAUUCCUUUUACUAACCAGAGAAGGAACAGUUAUUAUAACUGGAUCCAAAUUAAUAGUCAGAAUUAUCUCUAUACUUUAAUAAUGUUUCUUUUAAAAGUGUAAGAAUACAUAUAUAGCUUUUAGGGAAAAAACAUGUAGACACUCAACCUGUUCUAACUGCUGGUAGCUACGGAACAAGUGUAGAAAGAAAAACAGAUACACUACUUGGCUUCCAUCUGUGGUCAAAAAACUAUAUUGUUUUAUUCAUUUAAAAACAUAUGCUAGAUAUGUAACUCUCAACAGCAUUUAAAACUGUGUUUUUAAUACAGAAAAUAUGCUAGUGCUGCACAAUGAAGAAAUAAUUUAUCUUAAUAACUGGAAAAUACUGACGAUAAUGAAAAUGUUUUAGGCAAAAUGAGCACACUGCAUGCUUCAGACUGAAAUUAAUUAGAGUUUUUAACGUUUUACAAUUCCACCAUAAUUCUUUAAAUGGUGCAUUUACCUCAUAGUAAUAAACACUUGGAUCAUUAAGUAAAGUGCGAAAUGUGUGUGAUAUGCUACAUUUAACAACCUUUGGCCUUUUAUUUUUCUAUACUUCUGCAUUCAGUUUUCCAAUGCAUUGAAUGAGCAAUUGAAGACCACAAUUAGAUUUCCUGACUUUGCAUAUUUGAGAUUCUUAUUUCAUUUAAUACAAAAGGC
rnacentral:lncRNA from 1 species